rnacentral:lncRNA from 1 species
UGUUUUUGGGGUGUUUGGGGUGAUUUAGGGGUGUUUUGGGGGUGUUUGGGGUGAUUUAGGGGUGUUUUUGGGGUGUUUUGGGUGAUUUUGAGGUGGUUUUGGGUGUUUUUGGGGUGUUUUUGGGGUGUUUCGGGUGAUUUUGAGGUGUUUUUGGGUGUUUUUGGGUGAUUUUGGGGUGUUUUGGGGUGUUUUUGGGGUGUUUCGGGUGAUUUUGAGGUGGUUUUGGGUGGUUUUGGGGUGUUUUUGGGGUGUUUCGGGUGAUUUUGAGGUGGUUUUGGGUGGUUUUGGGGUGUUUUUGGGGUGUUUCGGGUGAUUUUGAGGUGUUUUUGGGGUGUUUCGGGUGAUUUUGAGGUGGUUUUGGCCGCAGGUGGCCGAGCUGGCGGCGCUGCCCCGCGACGUUUCCCGCUCCGUUUACACCCAGCGCAUCCUGGAGAUCGUCGGCAACAUCCGCAAGCAGAAGGAGGAGAUCGGCAAGAUCCUGGAGGACACGCGGGCGCUGCAGAAGGAGAUCAACGCCCUGGUGGGGAAGCUGGAGAGGACCUUCAGCGUCACCGACGAGCUGCUCUUCAAGGUGGGGGGCUGGGGGGGGCACCCCAAAAAAAUAAAGCACCGGGGGGGGGGGGGGGGGGGGUCCGGCUGGGAUUUUGGGGGGCACGGGCUGGGGGAGGGGGGAGUUCAGUGGUACGGCCCGGACGGGAUGGCCCCGAAGGGGUGAGGGGGUGGGAGACCCCCAGAGUGUCACGGGUGCCCCCCAGAGUGUCACGGGUGCCCCCCAAAUUGUCACGGGUGCCCCCAGAUUGUCACGGGUGCCCCCCAAAUUGUCAUGUGUGCCCCCCAAAUUGUCAUGUGUGCCCCCCAAAUUGUCAUGUGUGCCCCCAAACUCUCCCUGCCCCCCAAACUCUCCCUGUGCCCCCCAGUGUCCCUGUA